rnacentral:tRNA from 1 species
GGAGAUAUAACUCAGUUGGUAGAGUGUUUGUCUAGCAUGCAUAAAGCAACAAUGGGUUAAGUCCUUAUCACUA